CCUACGGGAGGCAGCAGUGGGGAAUAUUGGGCAAUGGGCGCAAGCCUGACCCAGCAACGCCGCGUGAAGGAAGAAGGCUUUCGGGUUGUAAACUUCUUUUCUCAGGGACGAAGCAAGUGACGGUACCUGAGGACUAAGCCACGGCUAACUACGUGCCAGCAGCCGCGGUAAUACGUAGGUGGCAAGCGUUAUCCGGAUUUACUGGGUGUAAAGGGCGUGUAGGCGGGAAAGCAAGUCAGAUGUGAAAACCAUGGGCUCAACCUGUGGCCUGCAUUUGAAACUGUUUUGCUUGAGUACUGGAGAGGCAGACGGAAUUCCUAGUGUAGCGGUGAAAUGCGUAGAUAUUAGGAGGAACACCAGUGGCGAAGGCGGUCUGCUGGACAGCAACUGACGCUGAGGCGCGAAAGCGUGGGGAGCAAACAGGAUUAGAUACCCUUGUAGUC
rnacentral:rRNA from 1 species